rnacentral:rRNA from 1 species
UACGAAGGGGGCUAGCGUUGCUCGGAAUCACUGGGCGUAAAGCGCGUGUAGGCGGCUAUUUAAGUCUGAUGUGAAAGCCCUGGGCUUAACCCAGGAAGUGCAUUGGAUACUGGGUAGCUCGAGUACCGGAGAGGAGGGUGGAAUUCCUGGUGUAGCGGUGAAAUGCGUAGAUAUCAGGAGGAACACCGGUGGCGAAGGCGUCCCUCUGGCCGGAUACUGACGCUGAGACGCGAAAGCGUGGGGAGCAAACAGG